GAAUUCGAUUCAGGCCUAACACAUGCAAGUCGAGCGGUAGAGAUUCUUCGGAAUCUUGAGAGCGGCGUACGGGUGCGGAACACGUGUGCAACCUACCUUUAUCUGGGGGAUAGCCUUUCGAAAGGAAGAUUAAUACCCCAUAAUAUAUUGAUUGGCAUCAAUCGAUAUUGAAAACUCCGGUGGAUAGAGAUGGGCACGCGCAAGAUUAGCUAGUUGGUGAGGUAACGGCUCACCAAGGCAAUGAUCUUUAGGGGGCCUGAGAGGGUGAUCCCCCACACUGGUACUGAGACACGGACCAGACUCCUACGGGAGGCAGCAGUGAGGAAUAUUGGACAAUGGGUGCAAGCCUGAUCCAGCCAUCCCGCGUGAAGGACGACUGCCCUAUGGGUUGUAAAGUUCUUUGUACAGGGAUAAACCUACCCUCGUGAGG
rnacentral:rRNA from 1 species